rnacentral:rRNA from 1 species
UGAGGAAUAUUGGUCAAUGGGCGGGAGCCUGAACCAGCCAAGUCGCGUGAGGGAAGACGGUCCUAUGGAUUGUAAACCUCUUUUGUCGGGGAGCAAGAAAGGGUAUGCANACCCUACUGAGAGUACCCGAAGAAAAAGCAUCGGCUAACUCCGUGCC